rnacentral:lncRNA from 1 species
AAAAAACUAACUUGUACAUGCAUAUCAUUUCUCAGGUUCAUUCAGGAGUCUGUUCACAGUGAGAGAUGGCAGCCAUUCCAGAGUUGAAGAGGAAGACUUGCACCUACAGUUUCUACCGUGAGCCUAGGUUCAUUCAGGAGUCUGUUCACAGUGAGAGAUGGCAGCCAUUCCAGAGUUGAAGAGGAAGACUUGCACCUACAGUU